rnacentral:misc_RNA from 1 species
GAACCACCACUAAAAUUUAGAUUAGCAGAGUGAUAGAGUAAACCUGGAGAGAAGUCGAAGAAGAGCACAACCAAAAUGUUGAUAACAGUGAGAGAAGCAUGUCCUUUCUCCCCCAUUUGUUUCAACUUCUCUUCUCUUUCUAGUCUCAAUUUCUCCAAACCCUCUCUCAGACUCAAAGCCUCUGUCUGCAGUGCCACCUUCUCUGUCCAAAGCAAACCCAGCACCACCAAGCCCUGGAACACUGCCUUUAACUCCAAAAGCUGUGAGAGCUCAGUCUUUGAUCCCUUGGGUAUUAAUUCAGAUGUAUAUUGUGGACUAGAUUCUGCUUGGGAAAGCAUACUAGCCUUGUUAUCACCAAUAUUUGAGAGUGCCUCAAGUACAAAAAAAGAUAAGCCUU